AUACGGAGGGUGCAAGCGUUAAUCGGAAUUACUGGGCGUAAAGCGCUCGUAGGCGGCUUGUUAAGUCGGAUGUGAAAGCCCCGGGCCCAACCUGGGAACUGCAUUCGAUACUGGCAGGCUAGAGUAUAGUAGAGGCAAGUGGAAUUCCGGGUGUAGCGGUGAAAUGCGUAGAUAUCCGGAGGAACAUCAGUGGCGAAGGCGACUUGCUGGACUAAUACUGACGCUGAGGAGCGAAAGCGUGGGGAGCAAACGGGAUUAGAAACCCCAGUAGUCC
rnacentral:rRNA from 1 species